UACGUAGGGCGCAAGCGUUAUCCGGAAUUAUUGGGCGUAAAGAGCUCGUAGGCGGUUCGUCGCGUCGGCUGUGAAAACCUGAGGCUCAACCUCAGGCCUGCAGUCGAUACGGGCGGACUUGAGUACUGCAGGGGAGACUGGAAUUCCUGGUGUAGCGGUGAAAUGCGCAGAUAUCAGGAGGAACACCGAUGGCGAAGGCAGGUCUCUGGGCAUUAACUGACGCUGAGGAGCGAAAGCAUGGGGAGCGAACAGG
rnacentral:rRNA from 1 species